AGCGUCCCCGUUAAGAGGGCGUCCCACGUGCAAAUCCCUCGGCGCAAGCGAUAUCUCUGCCUCGCGUGUGGGGAGCCCUGCCCCGGCCCCGGGGCCUGGGAACAACGGCCCGUUAAAGUGAUCGCCCCCGUCUGUGACCAUCAGGUCUUGCCUCAUUAACUGCUGAUUGAAGCUCUGCUUGGCCCUCUGGGAUACCUAACACCCCAGGCCUAUCACCAGAUGAACCCCUGGUUAGGCGCUUUUGCCUUCGCCUGUGUUGCUUUGCACAGCUCCUUGACCUCAACCUUCUUACGAAUGUUUAUCCUUCUACCAGACAAAGUACUCAGAUAUCCAUGAAGUCCCCCUCAUCUCACACUAUCGUUUCUCUCACCGGGUGCAAUCCGACUUUAAAGAAUUCAACACAUACUGGUCUUUAGAGAACUGUCAGCAAUGACAGCAACCAGGGACGCUGACAUGUCUUAUUGUUUACAAAGGAUGAGCACAACAAGGCCUCUCGGAUG
rnacentral:lncRNA from 1 species